GCCCUCGUAGCUCAGUGGUAGAGCGCUCGCCUUGUAAGCGAGAGGUCGCGAGUUCAAACCUCGCCGGGGGCU
rnacentral:tRNA from 1 species